UGGGGAAUAUUGGACAAUGGGCGAAAGCCUGAUCCAGCCAUGCCGCGUGUGUGAAGAAGGUCUUCGGAUUGUAAAGCACUUUAAGUUGGGAGGAAGGGCAGUAAAUUAAUACUUUGCUGUUUUGACGUUACCGACAGAAUAAGCACCGGCUAACUCUGUGCCAGCAGCCGCGGUAAUACAGAGGGUGCAAGCGUUAAUCGGAAUUACUGGGCGUAAAGCGCGCGUAGGUGGUUCGUUAAGUUGGAUGUGAAAUCCCCGGGCUCAACCUGGGAACUGCAUUCAAAACUGACGAGCUAGAGUAUGGUAGAGGGUGGUGGAAUUUCCUGUGUAGCGGUGAAAUGCGUAGAUAUAGGAAGGAACACCAGUGGCGAAGGCGACCACCUGGACUGAUACUGACACUGAGGUGCGAAAGCGUGGGGAGCAAAA
rnacentral:rRNA from 1 species